GCCCACGUUGCGAAAUGAUAAUCAUCCCGUGAGUCGUGUUGAAUACGAUGACGAAGACGAGUGAGGCGCUUGUCGUCCGAACGUGUUUGAAGUACUUAACAAACUUAGGCCACCAUCAAUAAUGUUCUGCUCUAAUCAAAUGAUGUUCGUAGCGUAAUACUUCAAAUGCACGUACGACUUCGAACACCACCAGCAUGUUUCACCAACACGCGAUGAGGUCAAUGGUUUGCAGCCUCGGAACUACACUGCCCUAAAUGACAAAACAUAACUUUGUGAGCUGCUUGCUAAUUACGAAAACGAUAUUAUCCAUCUAACACUUUGUUAUACGUAUAAUGCAAGUUAUCGGGUUUCCUAAUAACAUGCAAUAUCGCUAAAAUAUUUCACCGUAAGUGAUUGAAAAAAAUAAUAGAUUUUUUCCG